rnacentral:misc_RNA from 1 species
GAGAUUUCAACCUCGUCUUGGGAGAUACUUUGCUGCUUCUGUAGAUAAUAUUGUAUCCAUUUUUGAUGUUGAGACACAAGCACGUCUGCAUUCAUUACAGGGACACACCCAAAAGGUUCAGUCACUUUGUUGGGAUCCUUCUGGAGAGUUCCUGGCAUCUGUUAGCGAGGAUUCUGUUCGAGUGUGGACGCUUGCUUCCGGGAAUGAGGGCGAAUCCAUUCAUGAGUUGAGCUGUAACGGCAAUAAAUUCCACUCUUGUGUUUUCCAUCCCACCUAUUCUACUUUGCUGGUCAUUGGAUGCUACCAGUCAUUAGAGCUUUGGAACACGACUGAGAACAAG